CGCCAUUUUCCACCGGGUCACCGGGCAGAAUUCGCACUGAAGCUGUCGUCCGGCAUACCAUCGUCCGUUAAACAGAGAAAGGGCUGCUUGGCAUUCUUCUUCCGACUGGUACUGAACGUACACGUUGCCCCUCAGAGACAGGGUUUAACCAUGUUGCCCAGGCUGGUCUCGAACUCCUGAGCUCAAGCAGUCCUCCCACUUCAGCCUCUCAAAGUCCUGGGACCACAGGGUGAGCCACUGCACAGGGCCAGAAUUGGCAAGUGUUGUCUAGAACCAGACUAAAGCAUCUUUCCAUCAUCCUUGCAGCUGAGAAUGAGAAACCACACAACAAAAAACUGGUCAGAAAUCUAUGAAACAAUGGUUUUCCGAUACUGGACCUCGUCAGUGCAGGACGGUGAUUCCUGAGAGAGGAAACAAAUGAGGUUUUCUUCCAGGUUUUCAAGCAAUAGAAAAAUUAUAAAAACCGUUGUUGAUGAAGAUGAAGGAAAAUGGGCAUCUCAUAGUCUCCUACUUCGCUGGUGGGAGUUUCAAAUGGCAUACUUUUUCUGAAGGCUAUUUUGGAAAUACGAAUCUAAAGUCUUAAAAUGUGCAUCCUUCUGACUCAGCAAUCAACAUGAGAUACUUAUCAAAAGGAAAUAUAAUUAUAGAGUGUUAUUUCUUGAGUUAUUUACAACAGUGGAAGUGUCUCUGGGGUGGGUUGAGACUGACAGGGUGCUGGGGGUACUCACAGGGUUUGGAGCUGCUGCUAUUUAACAACUGGAGCAGAAAUAUUUGCAUUGUUUAUCAACCAAUACAGCCAUAGUGCACAUCUUCAAUGUCAGUUUUUGUUUGUUUUGUUUUGUUUUUGAGAUGGAGUCUUGCUCUUGUCCAGGCUGGAGUGCAAUGGCAUGAUCUCAGCUCAGUGCAACUUCCACCUCCCAGGUUGAAGCGAUUCUCCUGCCUCAGCCUCCCAAGAAGCUAGGAUUACAGGCGCCUGCCACCAUGCCCAGCUAAUUUUUGUAGUUUUAGUAGAGACAGGGUUUCACUAUGCUGGCCAGACUAGUCUCAAACUCCUGACCUCACGUGAUCUGCCUGCCUCAGCCUCCCAAAGGGCUUGGAUUAUAGACAUAAGCCACCGUGCCCAGCUAAUGCCAGUUUUUAAAACUAAAACAAAAAAUGAGGGUUGCUCCUGUUUCCUCGUAAGAUUAGAGGUGGGAGCCAGAAUGUUAGCUCUUGCCUUUCUAGUUGAGCACAGGUCCUGGGGCUGCAAUCCAAGUGGGCACCUAUCUGCAGGACCAGUAGCAGGACAAGGUUGCCAGGGCCCAGCACAGUGGCUAUGGACACCAUGAGGCACAGCAGGGAAGAGAGCAGAAGCCCUAUGUCCAGGGCUUGCUUCCAGCCGAAAUCAUGGCAGUCAAGGUGAUGAGGAUGCCACAGAAGGCACAGAAGAGG